rnacentral:lncRNA from 1 species
UGCUUUUAGAUUCAGCAAGGAUUUCACAAAACUCACAGAAAAAUAAAAUCAUCAUCAACAUCUUGCAAGGACAAGCAAUGCUUCACUGGUUGAGAUGUGUCAGGUAGAUUUGGAGCAUUUUUUCUCUGUGUGAUAUAUUAAUUACAUUGAAAUAUGAAGGAAGGUUCCAGUGAAUUUUGGAGUUGGAUGAAAACGUUUGUUUUGUUGCUGAUUCUAUGAAGGUAAAUAUAAAGAAAGAUUCAUUAUUUGAGGGAAUAGAGAGAUUAAUGUGGAUACCAUUUAUAAGUUAAAUGCAUUAAUAGACAUUAACAUUUCAAAAUAAUUCCUGAGCUACAACUACAAGGUGAUUGGUAAUUUUCUGAAAGUAAUGUAAUUAUUACAUUGUGAAAAUAAAUUAUAUAUAUAAAACUAGU